rnacentral:rRNA from 1 species
CAACGCUGGCGGCGUGCCUAACACAUGCAAGUCGAGCGAGAAAAGGGUAGCAAUAUCCUGAGUAAAGCGGCGCACGGGUGAGUAACACGUGGGUAAUCUGCCCUGGAGUGGGGAAUAACACCGGGAAACCGGUGCUAAUACCGCAUACGAUCACGAUGUCUGCGGACGUUGUGAUGAAAGGAGCAAUUCGCUCCAGGAGGAGCCCGCGGCUGAUUAGCUAGUUGGUGAGGUAAUGGCUCACCAAGGCUACGAUCAGUAUCCGGUCUGAGAGGACGGUCGGACACACUGGAACUGAGACACGGUCCAGACUCCUACGGGAGGCAGCAGUGGGGAAUUUUUGGCAAUGAGGGAAACCCUGACCAAGCAACGCCGCGUGGAUGAUGAAGUCUCUUGGGACGUAAAAUCCUUUCGACGGGGAAGAAAGCCGCAAGGCUUGACGGUACCCGUAGAAGAAGCCCCGGCUAACUCCGUGCCAGCAGCCGCGGUAAUACGGGGGGGGCAAGCGUUGUUCGGAAUUACUGGGCGUAAAGGGCGCGUAGGCGGUUUGCUAAGUUGGAUGUGAAAACUUUGGGCUUAACCCAGAGCCUGCAUCCAAAACUAGCAGACUAGAGUUCUGGAGGGGGUAGCGGAAUUCCUGGUGUAGCGGUGAAAUGCGUAGAUAUCAGGAGGAACACCGGUGGCGAAGGCGGCUACCUGGACAGAAACUGACGCUGAGGCGCGAAAGCUAGGGGA